rnacentral:rRNA from 1 species
AUCUACAGUCAUACCACCCNGAACACACCCAAUCUCAUCUGAUCUCAGAAGCUAAGAAGGGUCAGACCUGGUUAGUACUUGGGUGGAAGAGUCUGUGAUUACUUCUGCCCCUUCAGUGGAAAAUAAUCAGAUGGAUU